ACUGACAGUCGUACGAUGAAGCCCAGCUUGCUGGGUGGAUUAGUGGCGAACGGGUGAGUAACACGUGAGUAACCUGCCCCCGACUCUGGGAUAAGCCCGGGAAACUGGGUCUAAUACCGGAUAUUACCUCUUGCCGCACGGCAGGUGGUGGAAAGAUUUAUCGGUGGGGGAUGGACUCGCGGCCUAUCAGCUUGUUGGUGAGGUAAUGGCUCACCAAGGCGACGACGGGUAGCCGGCCUGAGAGGGUGACCGGCCACACUGGGACUGAUACACGGCCCAUACUCCUACGGGAGGCAGCAGUGGGGAAUAUUGCACAAUGGGCGAAAGCCUGAUGCACCGACGCCGCGUGAGGGAUGACGGCCUUCUGGUUGUAAACCUCUUUCAAUAGGGAAGAAGCUAAAGUGACGGUACCUGCAGAAAAAGCGCCGGCUAACUACGUGCCACAGCCGCGCUGAUACGUAGGGCGCAGCGUUUCCGGAUUUAUUGGGCGUAAUAGCUCCUUGCUGCUUGUCGCGUCUGCCGUGAAAUCCGAGGCUUACCUCGGAUCUGCCUGGGUACGGGCUGACUCAGUGAUGUAGGUAGACUGGAUUCCUGGUGUAGCGAUGAAUGCCAGACUCAUGAGAACACGAUGGCAACGCUGUCUCUGGCAUUACUGCGCUUGGAAGAAUCAUGGGAGCAACUGAUAGAUACCUGGUAUCCUGCCGUAACUUGGCACUAGUGUGGGGACUUCACGUUUCCCGCCUACUAAGUUUAGUGCUCGCCGAGAGACGCGGUAGUAAACUAAUGAUUACGGGAAGCAAUCGUUAACUGUAGCUAUCCUUAUGAGGUCAUCUACUUGUUAU
rnacentral:rRNA from 1 species